rnacentral:rRNA from 1 species
GAUGAACGCUGGCGGCGUGCCUAAUACAUGCAAGUCGAGCGAACGGACGAGAAGCUUGCUUCUCUGAUGUUAGCGGCGGACAGGUGAGUAACACGUGGAUAACCUACCUAUAAGACUGGGAUAACUUCGGGAAACCGGAGCUAAUACCGGAUAAUAUUUUGAACCGCAUGGUUCAAAAGUGAAAGACGGUCUUGCUGUCACUUAUAGAUGGAUCCGCGCUGCAUUAGCUAGUUGGUAAGGUAACGGCUUACCAAGGCAACGAUGCAUAGCCGACCUGAGAGGGUGAUCGGCCACACUGGAACUGAGACACGGUCCAGACUCCUACGGGAGGCAGCAGUAGGGAAUCUUCCGCAAUGGGCGAAAGCCUGACGGAGCAACGCCGCGUGAGUGAUGAAGGUCUUCGGAUCGUAAAACUCUGUUAUUAGGGAAGAACAUAUGUGUAAGUAACUGUGCACAUCUUGACGGUACCUAAUCAGAAAGCCACGGCUAACUACGU